rnacentral:rRNA from 1 species
GUUGGUGUUAAUGACGCUGAGGGUCCACCUGUUCCCAUACCGAACACAGAAGUUAAGCUCAGUGGUGCCGAAAAUACUUGGCUGGCGACGGCCCGGGAAAAUAGGGAGAUGCCAACA